CAACCAGGAGGUUGGCUUAGAAGCAGCCAUCCUUUAAAGAAAGCGUAAUAGCUCACUGGUCUAGUGAUUUUGCGCGGAAAAUAUAACGGGGCUAAAGUAAGUACCGAAGCUUUAGGCUUGAUUUAUCAAGCGGUAGGAGAGCGUUCUAUUUGCGUCGAAGGUAUACCGACAAGGAGUGCUGGAGCGAAUAGAAGUGAGCAUGCAGGCAUGAGUAGCGAUAAUUAAUGUGAGAAUCAUUAACGCCGU
rnacentral:rRNA from 1 species